rnacentral:lncRNA from 1 species
UUCUGGGGCCUGGACGGAAUAGACAAUCAGCUCAUUACCAGGUGGAGAAAGACACAUCAGUUUACACUCAAAGCCCUGAUGGUAGAGUUCAGCCCCAUAGCCAUCUGAGACCUAUCACGUUCCUUCUACUUUUUUUUCCAUUGUUUGGAAUAAAUAGCUAGGAGAUUUAACUGGAAGAUAAAGAACUUUUCAAAAACAAAACUAAAAUUUCCUCAAGAUAUUUUUUUAAACAAAAUUUCACCUGUCCUAGUGAUUAAAAAAAAGUCUUCUCA